rnacentral:lncRNA from 1 species
CCCCCCUUUUUUAAGCAUAAAAAUUCAUAACACGGAAAUGUAAAAUCUAAAAUUUAUAAAAAUUGAAAGGGAGCUUACAUCAAUAGAUAUAAACAAUUUACCAAAGUUUCAUGGACAUUGGUGAAAGCCUUUUUGAGUUAUUGUCCGAAGUGUUGAAAAUCCCCCUUUUUUUAUGAAUAAAGCCCCAUAAAUCCAAAACUUAAAAUCUAAAAUUUAUAAAAAUUGAAAGGGAGCUUACAUC